CAGACUGCUGUGCUAGCAAUCAGCGAGACUCCGUGGGGUAGGACCCUCUGAGCCAGGUGUGGGAUAUAAUCUCGUGGUGCGCCGUUUUUUAAGCCCGUCAGAAAAGCGCAGUAUUCGGGUGGGAGUGACCCGAGUUUCCAGGUGCUGUCCAUCACCCCUUUCUUUGAUUAAGAAAGGGAACUCCCUGACCCCUUGCGCUUCCCGAGUGAGGCAAUGCCUCGCCCUGCUUCGGCUCGCACACGGUGCGCGCACCCACUGACCUGCGCUCACUGACUGGCACUCCCUAGUGAGAUGAACCCGGUACCUCAGAUGGAAAUGCAGAAAUCACCCGUCUUCUGCGUCCUUCAGGCUGGGAGCUGUAGACCUGAGCCGUUCCUAUUCGGCCAUCUUGGCUCCUCAAAUCUAUAUUCAAAAAAAGGCUUUUACAUCAAAUAUUGAUAACGAUAAUAAUGAUUAACACAUGUGGAGCACUUACCAUCUCUCAAGCACUGCUCUAGAGCUUUCCAUGAAAGAAUCCCUCUAAUCUUCAGAACAAUCCUGUGAGGAGCUGCUGCCAAAUCAACACCUCGAUAUGUUUGUUCUUGGAGAGAAAUGAGCUAAGGAGGAAGACCGUCUAAAAAUACCACUGGACAAUUUGUACUCACUGGAGUGGUCUCUAUGGGGCAAAAGGUUUUUAGAGUGGCUCGUGGAUUUUCUGGCAAGUGGCAAACCAUACAAGAGCUACGUCAGGCCAGGAAGACAGGUACAGCCCUGUCGGUGUCAAAGAAGAACACCGGUAGCAGAAGAGCUAAGAGUGAAUGAAAAUGGAAUUAUCUUUACUUCUAGGACUUGUCUAUUGAGAAACAGCAGCGCUGGCAACCAUUUACUACCAACAAGAGGCAGUUGCAAGAGAAGAAUAUAAAAUAUGCUCUGCUCAACCCCACAAAACUCAGAGUGUCUCACAAUGGCCAAUUUAUUAUUUUUACCCUGUCCAGUGACAUGGAAGGAUGCAUCAGGGAGCUGCUAGCCUCUGCGAUGAAUAACUUAAGUCAGGCUGCAACAUGUGAAAUAAUUCAGCUGACCAGGAUUUAUAACACUAGCUAGAUUUUUUGCUUUCUUUGGGGUUCAUGAAGCAUGGUGUUGUGAGAUACCACAGGAGUCCCGGAGUAAAGUUACAUACCUAUUGCUCUUCCUUAUUUUUAUUUUUUGGUAUUUUCAUAUUAUUUUAUUGCCUAGUCCAAAUGUCUUCCUAAGCAGGGUCCAGCCUCCUAGGGGACACGUCUCUUCUGACUUUGAAAAUUAGAACCACAGACAGAUAAGACUUCUAAAUACUCUGUUUUUAUACCCUCUUCUUCACAUACCUAGUCCCAGGUGGUUUUGACUCCCUGAUGCUGUGUUGAUUGUGUUGGCCUUCAAUUUAUUUUGCUCAAUUAUUUAUGUGCAUCUGCCCAAAUAAGAGGUGUGGCAAUGCAGUGGCAUGCUUACAAUUCAGCCCAUCUCACUCCCUGGUUCAUAUGUCAGUUUGCAGGAUGGCUUGCUAGAUUUGCAAAGGGGUGUGGGGGACAGUUUCCAUCUGCUGCCAUUGCAAAACACAUCUUUCAGGGGCUACCUGGCAGGGCUGUUUUCUUUCCAGGUAAGGUUCAGGGACAUUUCCAUGCACUGAGUAGAGUCUGGAUCUUUGUUUUCCAGGUGCCUCAGAAGACUAGGACAUGGGGCAAUUGCAAAUCCUGGUCUUUGUACAUUACAUAGAACUUAGGGUAGGAAGGGACUUCAGAAGAUCAUCAGGUCAAAUUUCCCACUUCCUUGGAAUUCUCAUUUUUUAGAGGACCAAUGGUUGGCAACAUCCCUUUUUUGUGUUGUCAUUUGGAAAUUGUGUUAAAAGCCAUUCUUUCACAGUUGCUCUGUGGUCCUUCCAAUUUUCACUUUAACUGGGAAAUUUUAAUGAGAUCCUUCAAGCAAUUAAAAGAGUAGAAAAAAUACUCACAGAAGCAGAAUUUGGAGGGUAGCUAUGGCUUUUCUCUGUUGACAAACCCCCUUUUGACUUCUUGACAUCACUGAAUCAAGUCUUAGUGUCUUGAGAGGUUACUGCCUGAAUACAGGUUAAAUAUGUUAAUAUUCACUGAUUGGAGGAAAGUACCAUGAGCAAAUCUAAUGCAGGAUCCUGGAAUGCUGAGGGCAUUAGUGGCUCCAUAAAAUGUAAAUGCAUUCUUAAUUAUCUCAAGUCACUGCACGCCCAAGUAGCUCUUUUGUAAGAAAAACACAGCUUACUGAUAAUGAGCAUGAAAAUUACUAAGAGAUUGGUGGAGUAAAUCUCUUAAACCUCCUUUCUUUUCUUUUCUUUUUUUCUUCUCCAAAUUUUGAUGUGACUUCGCUAAUUUGAGUAUGUGUCUCUUUUUAGAUUCUACAGAUAACCUUAGGGCCCCACAAGGCAUUUUGGGUGAUUGAAAUAAUAGCAGUUUGUACCUUACGGGAACCUCUAAAGAUGAUGAUGAUUAUUAUUAUUAUCAUGACUGAUUUUAUUGAAUCUAUGAGGCUUAUGAGGUCUUAAGUUCAAGAUCAGCCUGGCCAACAUGGUGAAACCCUGUCUCUACUAAAAACACAAAAAUUAGCUGGGCAUGGUAGUGGGCCCCUGUAAUCCCAGCUACUCAGGAGGCUGAGGCGGGAGAAUCACUUGAUCCUGGGAGGUGGAGGUUGCAGUGAGCUGAGAUUGCACCAGCCUGGGUAAUGGCCUGGGCAACAGACAAAAAAAAAAAAAAAAAAAAAAAAAAAAAGAAAUUCAGGUUGUACCCACUAGUUGCAGAGUGAUUUUAUUUUUAUUUAUUUAUUUUGAGAUGGAGUCUUGCUCUGUCACCUAGGCUGGAGUGGAGUGGCAGGAUCUCGGCUCACUGCAACCUCCACCUCCCGGGUUCAAGCAAUUCUCCUGCCUCAGCCUCCUGAGUAGCUGGGAUUACAGGAGCCCACCACCACACCCAGCUAAUUUUUUGUAUUUUUAGUGGAGAUGGGGUUUCAUCAUGUUGUCCAGGCUGGUCUUGAAUUCUUGACCUCAGGUGAUCCACCCUCCUAGGCCUCCCAAAGUGC
rnacentral:lncRNA from 10 species